rnacentral:rRNA from 1 species
UACAGAGGUCUCAAGCGUUGUUCGGAUUCAUUGGGCGUAAAGGGUGCGUAGGUGGCGCCGUAAGUCGGGUGUGAAAUUUCGGAGCUUAACUCCGAAACUGCAUUCGAUACUGCGGUGCUUGAGGACUGGAGAGGAGACUGGAAUUCAUGGUGUAGCAGUGAAAUGCGUAGAGAUCAUGAGGAAGACCAGUGGCGAAGGCGGCAUCCUGGACCGGUAUUGACGCUGAGGCGCGAAAGCCAGGGGAGCAAACGGG